rnacentral:rRNA from 1 species
UACGUAGGGGGGCAAGCGUUUGUCCGGAAUCAUUGGGCGUAAAGCGCGCGUAGGCGGCCCGGUAAGUCCGCUGUAAAAGUCCAGGGCUCAACCCUGGAAAGCCGGUGGAUACUGUCGGGCUAGAGUCCGGAAGAGGCGAGUGGAAUUCCUGGUGUAGCGGUGGAAUGCGCAGAUAUCAGGAGGAGCACCGGUGGCGAAGGCGGCAUCCUGGACCGGCAUUGACGCUGAGGAGCGAAAGCCAGGGGAGCAAACGGGG